rnacentral:rRNA from 1 species
AGGGAAUCUUCCACAAUGGACGGAAGUCUGAUGGAGCAACGCCGCGUGAGCGAAGAAGGUCUUCGGAUCGUAAAGCUCUGUUGUAAGGGAAGAAUAAGUACAGUAGUAACUGGCUGUACCUUGACGGUACCUUACGAGAAAGCCACGGCUAACUACGUGCCAGCAGCCGCGGUAAUACGUAGGUGGCAAGCGUUGUCCGGAAUUAUUGGGCGUAAAGCGCGCGCAGGCGGCCUUUUAAGUCUGAUGUGAAAGCCCCCGGCUUAACCGGGGAGGGUCAUUGGAAACUGGGAGGCUUGAGUGCAGAAGAGGAAAGUGGAAUUCCAAGUGUAGCGGUGAAAUGCGUAGAGAUUUGGAGGAACACCAGUGGCGAAGGCGACUUUCUGGUCUGUUACUGACGCUGAGGCGCGAAAGCGUGGGGAGCAAAC